rnacentral:lncRNA from 1 species
AUGGGCUGCUCAUCGUCCAGCACGCAGACGCUCGCGCAGGAGAACCGACCGGGCGUCAAAGCGGAGGAGGCGCGCGGAGAAACUCUGCUUUCUCAUAAUGGUAUUGUAGCAGAAGACAGCGAGACCGUCUCGGAUCAGAUGCUGGAUGAGAUGGGUGCCGGACCGGAAGAGACGGUGAAGGACGUCCAGCCUGAGGCCUCAGAAGCAGAGCAGCUAAUGGUCAGCGCUAGUGAUGCUCCUCUGGAGGAGAGAGAUCCAGAAGACGUUCCUGAAACAUCAAGUCAUGAAGCUCCAGCUGAAGAGCAGCGAGAUGCUCAUACUGCAUCAGAACCCAGUGACACUACAGCUGCAGAACCCUCUCUAGCUGUGGAACCAGCAUCAGAUCUCAGCAGCACUCCAGCUGAGCUAACUGCAGCUCCAGAAGCACUGUCAGACGUGAGCUCGGAACCCACACUAGAGCAAGCAAACACAUGUCCUGAAGCGACACCAGUGCAACCAACUCCAGCUUCAGAACCAGUUCCAGAGGAAGUUAGCCCUGUUCCUGAACUCACUGUGUCUGAGCCUGUCCCGAGUGCAGAAUCAGCUUCUGCUGAGGAUCCGACUGUGUCUCCGGAACCCACUGCAGUGGAACCAAGCCCAGCUCUAGAGUCAACUCCAGCUCUAGAACCCACAGCCGAGGAACCAAGUCCGGCUCAAGCGACCGAAGAUCCGAAUCCAGCUCCAGAACCAACGGCUGAGGAACUGAGUUCAGCUCCAGAACCCGCAGCUGAGGAACCGAGUCCAGCUCCAGAACCCACGGCUGAGGAACCGAGUCCAGCUCCAGAACCCACGGCUGAGGAACCGAGUCCAGCUCCAGAACCCACGGCUGAGGAACCGAGUCCAGCUCCAGAACCCACGGCUGAGGAACCGAGUCCAGCUCCAGAACCCACGGCUGAGGAACCGAGUCCAGCUCCAGAACCCACGGCUGAGGAACCGAGUCCAGCUCCAGAACCCACGGCUGAGGAACCGAGUCCAGCUCCAGAACCCACGGCUGAAGAACCGAUUCCAGCUCCAGAACCCACGGCUGAGGAACCGAGUCCAGCUCCAGAACCCUUGGCAGCAGCAGUGGUCUCACAGGCUGCAGAGGAGAAUGCGACCUGCGCAGACGCUUCAGAAGGUAAUGCGUGGUCAUCUGGAUAAUUCUGAUCAUUUUGGAAGAAAGGGUCAGAUGACGGGAUGCUUGAAGUAAAUUAAAGCCCAGGUCACUACACAUGCUGUAGUAAGGCAGUGCAUAACUGAUGCUGGGUAACAGAACAGAGAUUGAGUAGAGUUUACUGUAGUCUAGACAAAGACAUUACAGUACAAAACACCAGCACACUGAACAUGUCUCGGUGCACAACAGCCUCUUGCUGACGCCUCGGCGCUCUUUGUGUCGCGCCAGAAGACACAAUAAUCUUGCUCUGUUGCUUCAGAUUAUGUAAGAUGAGCAUGUUCUGAGUGACGGCAGGGGUUUGUGACACACGGUGCUCGGCCGUGCCACAGUACCGCUUACCAUGAGCUCGAAUGAAAAUCUGUAUUAAUAUUUAGAUACAACCAUUUGUUAUAUAAUAUAUAAGCAGGUGUGUGAAAGAGAGACACUGAAUUCACUACAUGCUUGUUCAUGUGCUUUUUUCCGGUUAUUUGAGAUGACUUAUCAAGUUGACGCUCGCAGACACCCUGACAAAGAUGACAUGCAGAAGAACAACAAACUUAACUUGGGUAAAGAUCUCAAUCCAGACGUCUCUGUGAAACACCUGAAGACCGAAGCAGAUGUAUUUUAGGGUCAGUGUAGUUUGGGUCAGUGAAGCAGGGUUAAUUACAGAGACAGACGGUGAAUGUCAUUGACUUCUUAAAGAUCUGACUGAAGAUCUAUAGAAGGGUGGGCUGGAAGAUCUCUUGGGUGGGCAUUUUCCUGUUAGGGUCGGGGUAUUCUCCUUGUAUUGCAAGGGGAGGAAAUCUAGAUAUUUAUACUGUAGAUAUUGCUUUAUUAACUACAUAAACUAUAGACUGUUAAUUGGACACUGGUGAAAAAGCUUUCAUGAGCAGCCUAGAAUAUCAUGCACUUUCACAACAAAGUAAACUUUUUUUCUUUAUUGAAUAAUAAUAAGAAUAAUAAUAAUAAAGCGUUCUUUCUCUGUAUUAACUCAACUCAACUUUAUUUAUUAAGCACUUUCAACACCAAAAGUGGAACCAAAGUCCUGCACAGAAAGUAUAAAAGAGAAACAUAAAAACAAAAACAGACAUAUGACAUACACACUUACAAAGCAUUGUCAAAAGAUAAAGAAAACAAAUAAGUUUUAGGCGCACUCUGAAAAACACCCAAUGAAGGACAAGUUUUAACAGACAGAGGAAAGUCAUUCCAAAGCCUAGGAGCUGCAACAGAAAACGGCCGAUCGUCUUUACAUUUUAAAUGUGUUCGUGGGACUACAAGAAGCAACUGAUCAUUCGAGCGUAGAGAUAUUUUAUUGUUUCUACACUAGUUCACUUUUUUAUUUAUACUGAACAAGGCCAUAAUCAUAUCUAGAACAUUGCAUUAUUAGACCAGACCACUAUGGUAAUGGAAAAGGAACUAAAUAAAUAAUAAGAUUGUUUUGUAAAGUAAUCAAUCUGAACUGCAAAUAAUACUUUUAGCUAUAUUUAUUAUAAUAUUCACCAAUUCAGAUUUAGUUAUAUUCUUAAUAUCUUGAAAGCGCAAGACAGAAAAAUGCUAUUAUUGUCACAAUAAUUAUGAAUUACAUGAGUCAUGUAAAUGACAGCUCAACUUUCAAUUCAAAACGGUCGAAUUAGACAAAAAACAUAGUUUGCAUCACUGAUAAUAGUCUAUCUAUAUUCUAGUUUAUGAAAAUAUAAUAUUAAUUAAAUGCAAAACAAAUUAAAAAAACAGCAAAGCAUCAGCUCAACACACAUCUGUACAGAGUCUGAAUGGUUUCUGCAGCUCAUGAAUAUUGUGCUGCUGUUGACAGAAAUAUCAGCAACACAUUUGUUGUGUGUGUUUGCAGGAGCCGUUGAGGAGAUCACAGCAGAUACAGCUGGUGAGACGCUCCUGCAGGGGUCAGAGGUCAAACCCUUAAACACUGUCUUCACACUACAGCCAAUGAUUUCUGAUAAAAAAAAAAAAAACAUUUGCAGAUGAUUGAGCAAAAUGUGUGAAUCAUGAGCUUAUCUAAAGCCAUUAAUAUAGAAUGGUUUCUUCAUCAGUGUGUGGGAUGAGUUAUAUGGGUCUCAUUUGCAUAUCAUAAAAUUGUUUUGUUUGAAUGAAAUAAGCACAAGCUCUUUCGUGAUAACCUUUAUUUUGUGUUUCAGUGGUCGGUGAAGAUGGAGCUGAUCUGAAAUCCACAGAACCUGCAGAAUGAUGUCAAUGUGUUGUUGUGACGCUGGAAGACGUGCCUUUUAUUUCAGAGGAUUUGGGCUUCACAUACGUUUGUACAUAAAUUAGUGUUUCUAAGUAGCAUCAUCAUCAUUAGCAUUGUUAUUAAAAGCCUCUGAGAGCGCAGGGUCCCGAGGGUAACCAGCUGAGCGUGGGACGAAUGUUUGUGCUUCUGGAUAAAAUCACUGCAUCAUGUCCUCAUCUUCAACUGAGUCAAACACAAAAGCAAUAUUAACUCAUCUGAACAAACACGAGCCAAAACUCAAUAACUGUGAGUCAGCCAAAUUAUGUUUAAUAAUGUGUCUUUAAAUGGGUCAAAAGGGCCUUGUCUCUUUAUGUAUUUAGUGUAUUCUUCUCUGCAGAUGCAAAGCAGCUUGACUCUUUACUUGCAUUAAUCAAUGACACAGAAAGGCACACAUAGUAUAUUAAUCAAUAGUAUAUACUGUUGGGUUAUUUUAGUACAGUUUGUGGUGAUUGAUAGUUACACUUAAACUCCAGAGGACUAAUAAACCUCAUCAUAAUAAACCUGGCUUUAACCCAACGAUUCAAAUCGCUUCAAGUCCUGAAGAUAAGCAGUUGCUCAGUAAAACAUAUCAGUGCGUGAAGACAUGAAAGUUGAGCUCUUUAUAUAAAUAAAUCAAGCUUUUAAUGAACUGUGACAUGAUCUCUGCACAUCUCCUAUAUGUGUCUUUUUACAUUUAUAUGUGCACAGAAUAAAUAGUUAUUGUUACUAAUAAAAUAAGUUUGUAGUGAUUUGUCUUUCAUAAAGAUCAGUGUGUAGAUGUGUGGUAUUCUGGAGAACAUUGCAGCAGAUAUCCGUAAAAUCAGUGAGAGCCACAGAAAUCAGAGUCAACUCCAUCAACUGUAACUGCUUGUGUCUCUCUCUCUCUCUCUCUCACACACACACACACACACACACACUAAAGACAGUGUUCUCCAGUUCAUCUGUCCUGCAUGAGAUUGGAUUCAGGGGAAUCUGGAGGAAACACCCGAAUUACAAUGCUGACAAAUCCUAAACACAGUAAAGAAUUAAAAUACUAGGUAAAUAUAGCCACAGAUGCCUGAGCUAUUACAGACAUUCAGUUUUUAUGUGAAACACUAAACAUUUACUCUUCUGCUCAUUAAACUUUAGAAACAUGCUCAGAUGUAGUGUGAUGACAUGCAGACUCAUGCACAUAGUUUAUGGAUUGUUUAUAAGCUGAUGGUUAAAAUUAUAAUAGCCCUCUUGAUUAUUAAAAAAAAUGAAAACAACAAACAUUGUUAUGAAACACUGAUGCUGGAGGUUCAUUCAUUCAUUACAAUUGCUAUAUAUGUCAGAGGUCGCUCUCCUCUGGAGCAACUAGUUAAGUGUCUUGAUCAAGGACACAUUGGUGUGUGUUUCUCAGUGGAUUCGAACCCGGGUCUCUCACACCAAAGGUAGUAUGUAUCUUAUCCACUGC